UUGAGGCCAACAUUUUUGCUGGAUUACUGAGGUCAUGUAAAAAAAAAAAAUUCAUUUGGCUUUUGUGCAGCAGCCUACAAUGGCAGCCAAAAAUCUUCAUGCUGAUGAAAAAGGAGAUGGAACUGAGCUUUGGAGGAUGACACCAGGACCUGGGUGCCUCUUGUGGAUCUGCAGCCUGAGAGGCCCCUCCUGUGCCUGCACAGCAGCAGGAACCACAACCAGAAAAACCAUCUGCCUCCAGAUUUAAAAAUUGAGGGAAAUCUUCCAAGGGCAAGCCAUGGAUUGACUUCAGGACUGACCACACUGCCAAUGAGCAGUAGAGACACACCAGCCUGCAAUGAAAUCUAGGGCAAAGCAAUUCCCUGGCCCUUGCACACAGGAGCAGCAGUGAUGCACAGGCCAAGCCCAUCCUGAAUUCAUUUUGCAGUGAUCUGGAGGUGAAGCUGAGCAUGUCUGAGCGGGACCUGCACACAGGAGCUGACCCUGAGACGGCAGUAAUUACUACAGGAGAGAGCUGGAGAGCACAUGUACCGAGACCCCAAAGAACACUUUGGAGAGCUUUGUGUUUCUUGGAGGUUUAAUAUAUUAUAAUCUGAUUCAGCACAAGCCAGGCUGGGAAUAAAAGAGAAAUGCAGAAAGACUAAUGAUUUGAAGCGCAGGGGGAAGUGGAAGGAAAACAGCACUUCUAAGUGCAUUUUUUUUCCUUUUAUGCAAGAUCUGACUGGGACCAGGCAGAGAGAGCAAAGAGCUUCUGUGAGUUAACACAGAAGUGAAACAGUACAUUAAAGAGGCUUUAUUUGCUCCUUAGAGUCUUCUUUUGAUUUUUAAUAUCUCUGAGACUUGUCAGGGAGAAAAUGGACAAAGACAUCAGAUUCCAGGUCUUGAGCAGAGCUCCAGGACUUGAGACUUCAACAAAAUGAAAAAAAAUCACAUCCAGAAAAAGUUAAUGACCUUACCCUUAAGUGCUGCAAAACAACAACCAGAAGCAAGCUGGUCCACCUGCUAUGGAAGUCUCCAGUGUUGGCUAGACCAGUGCUUCAGGCUGACCCCGGCAUACCUCUAAAUUUCUGGUUGAAUUAUUUCAUCUGGAUCCAGAAAGGAGGUGAGUGUGGAGUAAGCCUGGUUUAGAGCCCUGGGCCCACAGCCUGUGUCCAGGUCUCCGUGUCCAAAUGCUGGUUGUAGGUGUUAGGGAAAGAGAUAUCAGGGGGCUUCCUGGCUCUACCAGGCCUUGCAAAGGAUGUGGUCUCGGUUCAGUAGGCGUGUAGCUGAAAAGCCCUGAAGCUACUUCAGCUUGGUAGCCAGGAGAGAGCCUCAAAGUCUGCAAGAACCCUGCAGAAUGCAAUAUUUACAAUGGAACAUAAAGAAAACAGGUGCUUCUGCUAAGUCAUGCCAGACCACGGAGGAAGCAAGCAGUCUUUGGAAGCACAACUCCAUUUGAAAGCAGCCAGGGAUCACUGCAAAGUGUGGACAUCUAUUGGACAUCUAUUUUCUCAUUCUUUUCUAUUUAUUUUCCAUUGAUAGCUUC